rnacentral:rRNA from 2 species
ACAUGCAAGUCGAACGGAAAGGCCCCUUCGGGGGUACUCGAGUGGCGAACGGGUGAGUAACACGUGGGCAAUCUGCCCUGCACUUCGGGAUAAGCCUGGGAAACUGGGUCUAAUACCGGAUAGGACCUUUAGGCGCAUGUCUUUAGGUGGAAAGCUUUUGCGGUGUGGGAUGGGCCCGCGGCCUAUCAGCUUGUUGGUGGGGUGAUGGCCUACCAAGGCGACGACGGGUAGCCGGCCUGAGAGGGUGUCCGGCCACACUGGGACUGAGAUACGGCCCAGACUCCUACGGGAGGCAGCAGUGGGGAAUAUUGCACAAUGGGCGCAAGCCUGAUGCAGCGACGCCGCGUGGGGGAUGACGGCCUUCGGGUUGUAAACCUCUUUCACCAUCGACGAAGGUUCGGGUUUUCUCGGAUUGACGGUAGGUGGAGAAGAAGCACCGGCCAACUACGUGCCAGCAGCCGCGGUAAUACGUAGGGUGCGAGCGUUGUCCGGAAUUACUGGGCGUAAAGAGCUCGUAGGUGGUUUGUCGCGUUGUUCGUGAAAUCUCACGGCUUAACUGUGAGCGUGCGGGCGAUACGGGCAGACUAGAGUACUGCAGGGGAGACUGGAAUUCCUGGUGUAGCGGUGGAAUGCGCAGAUAUCAGGAGGAACACCGGUGGCGAAGGCGGGUCUCUGGGCAGUAACUGACGCUGAGGAGCGAAAGCGUGGGGAGCGAACAGGAUUAGAUACCCUGGUAGUCCACGCCGUAAACGGUGGGUACUAGGUGUGGGUUUCCUUCCUUGGGAUCCGUGCCGUAGCUAACGCAUUAAGUACCCCGCCUGGGGAGUACGGCCGCAAGGCUAAAACUCAAAGGAAUUGACGGGGGCCCGCACAAGCGGCGGAGCAUGUGGAUUAAUUCGAUGCAACGCGAAGAACCUUACCUGGGUUUGACAUGCACAGGACGCGUCUAGAGAUAGGCGUUCCCUUGUGGCCUGUGUGCAGGUGGUGCAUGGCUGUCGUCAGCUCGUGUCGUGAGAUGUUGGGUUAAGUCCCGCAACGAGCGCAACCCUUGUCUCAUGUUGCCAGCGGGUAAUGCCGGGGACUCGUGAGAGACUGCCGGGGUCAACUCGGAGGAAGGUGGGGAUGACGUCAAGUCAUCAUGCCCCUUAUGUCCAGGGCUUCACACAUGCUACAAUGGCCGGUACAAAGGGCUGCGAUGCCGCAAGGUUAAGCGAAUCCUUUUAAAGCCGGUCUCAGUUCGGAUUGGGGUCUGCAACUCGACCCCAUGAAGUCGGAGUCGCUAGUAAUCGCAGAUCAGCAACGCUGCGGUGAAUACGUUCCCGGGCCUUGUACACACCGCCCGUCACGUCAUGAAAGUCGGUAACACCCGAAGCCAGUGGCCUAACCCUUGGGAGGGAGCUGUCGAAGGUGGGAUCGGCGAUUGGGACGAAGUCGUAACAA